rnacentral:rRNA from 1 species
CAGCAGCCACGGUAAUACGUAGGGUGCAAGCGCUAAUCGGAAUUAUUGGGCGUAAAGGGCUCGCAGGCGGUUUCUUAAGUCUGAUGUGAAAGCCCCCGGCUCAACCGGGGAGGGUCAUUGGAAACUGGGAAACUUGAGUGCAGAAGAGGAGAGUGGAAUUCCACGUGUAGCGGUGAAAUGCGUAGAGAUGUGGAGGAAUACCGAUGGCGAAGGCAGCCCCCUGGGAUAACACUGACGCUCAUGCACGAAAGCGUGGGGAGCAAACAGGAUUAGAGACCCCGGUAGUCCCUGUCUCUUAUAA